AUGUAGGGUGAUCUGUAUUUAGGUAGGGAUAAAUUACUCGAAAAGAAGUCAAUCUGGGAUAGUUUUUCCUUCAAGUUAAGCGUCUUGU
rnacentral:pre_miRNA from 1 species